GUGAAAACAACAUGGUCCAGAAGACAACUAUUCAGCAGCUCACCGAAAACGCCACCAACCAAGAUGCCAAGAUCCAGCAUCUCUCUAAGCUCACCACCAACCAAGAGGCCCAGAUCCAGCAGCUGUCUCAAAAUGCUGCCAGUCAGGAGGCAAAAAUUCAGCAGCUGUGUGAAAACACAACCAAUCAGGAUGCUAAGAUCCAGGAAGUGUUUGCCUACCUCAGAUCUGAAGAGGAAGAAAAUAAAACUCUGUGGGGUCAAAUUUUAUAUUUGACCACGGAGCUAGAUAAGUUCAAGAAGUCAACUGAUGACUGGAAGGAUUUAUACCACAGAGAGAGAGAUCUGCAUGCAGAGAGCAAAAAGCGAAAGCUGGAUCUAGAGAAGCAGCUGAAUAGCACGACUCAGCACCUCCAAGCCCAGCUGAAUCUAAGAGGGCUGAUGGUGGCUGCAGAAAAGCAGCUGACGAGGGACUUGAAUGAGCUGCAAGCAUCGUAUGAGGAACUCCAGCAAGCUCAUGAGACACUGCUGAAAGAACAACAGGAGCAGAAGGCACAGAAAGAAAUGUUGUCACUUCAACAAAGUGUCUCUGAGCUGAAGGAGCUCAUAAAAAGUCUGCUUCAUCCUGAUAUAGUCCACCUGGAAGAGCAUGUGGGUUACCCUAACCAGAAGCUGGAGCGAGUGCAUGCCUGGGCUGAGGAGCAGAGCGAUCUGCUCAAUAAACAGAAAGCCCUGUACCAGAAGGAGAAAAGACGUAGGCGCACACUCGACAAACAGCUGAAGAAAGCUAAGAGGCUGCCGAAACUGAGCAGAAAAACAGAGAUCUGCUGCUGGAUGCAUCGAACCAACUGGAGACUUAUCGGACGAGUCAAUCCCUCAGAGCUGCAUCACUGAGAAGCAGCCUAACAAACCAACUAUGUCUGGAUGCAUGCAAGAAAACCAAACGAACGUGGCUCAAGAAAAAAAAAAAAGAAGAAGAUGAAGAACGAACAAAGAGCCUUUAAAAUAAGUGUGUUCGUCAUGAGCAGCAUCCCGACAUCAUCUCUGGAUUAAAGAACAUUUGGAUGCAAUUAGGAAAUCCAGAAGAAGAUGGCUCCAGGAAAAAAAAGAAGAAUGAACAACAAAGAGCCAUCAGAAUAACCAUGUUUGUCUUUUUGAUUAAAGACAAGAAGUGGGGCAGUGGCAUUUAAAUGACACUGUUCUUUCUUUUUUCUUUUUUCUUAAGGACAGCACUGUUAUUCCAAAACAAGAGCAUUGGAAAUAAAAAUAAAUAAAUUGGCAAUACCAAA
ensembl:lncRNA